rnacentral:rRNA from 1 species
GACGAACGCUGGCGGCGUGCCUAAUACAUGCAAGUAGAACGCUGAAGGAGGAGCUUGCUCUUCUGGAUGAGUUGCGAACGGGUGAGUAACGCGUAGGUAACCUGCCUGGUAGCGGGGGAUAACUAUUGGAAACGAUAGCUAAUACCGCAUAACAGUAGAUGUUGCAUGACAUUUGCUUAAAAGGUGCAAUUGCAUCACUACCAGAUGGACCUGCGUUGUAUUAGCUAGUUGGUGGGGUAACGGCUCACCAAGGCGACGAUACAUAGCCGACCUGAGAGGGUGAUCGGCCACACUGGGACUGAGACACGGCCCAGACUCCUACGGGAGGCAGCAGUAGGGAAUCUUCGGCAAUGGACGGAAGUCUGACCGAGCAACGCCGCGUGAGUGAAGAAGGUUGUCGGAUCGUAAAGCUCUGUUGUAAGAGAAGAACGAGUGUGAGAGUGGAAAGUUCACACUGUGACGGUAUCUUACCAGAAAGGGACGGCUAACUACGUG